rnacentral:rRNA from 1 species
AACGACGCUGGCGGCAUGCCUAACACAUGCAAGUCGAACGAACCCUUCGGGGUUAGUGGCGCACGGGUGCGUAACGCGUGGGGAUCUGCCCAAAGGUUCGGAAUAACUCAGAGAAAUUUGAGCUAAUACCGGAUAAUGUCUUCGGACCAAAGAUUUAUUGCCUUUGGAUGAACCCGCGUAGGAUUAGCUUGUUGGUGGGGUAAAGGCCUACCAAGGCGACGAUCCUUAGCUGGUCUGAGAGGAUGAUCAGCCACACUGGGACUGAGACACGGCCCAGACUCCUACGGGAGGCAGCAGUGGGGAAUAUUGGACAAUGGGCGAAAGCCUGAUCCAGCAAUGCCGCGUGAGUGAUGAAGGCCUUAGGGUUGUAAAGCUCUUUUACCAGGGAUGAUAAUGACAGUACCUGGAGAAUAAGCUCCGGCUAACUCCGUG